rnacentral:tRNA from 1 species
NUGCAGUUAGUACAGUGGUUUAGUACUCUCGUUUCCCUCACACGACUCAGCGACCCGGGUUCGACUCCCGGACUGCGCA